UACGUAGGGGGCAAGCGUUGUCCGGAAUUAUUGGGCGUAAAGCGCGCGCAGGCGGCCUUUUAAGUCUGGGGUAUAAUCCCGGGGCUCAACCCCGGUUCGCCUUGGAAACUGGGAGGCUUGAGUGCAGGAGAGGGAAGUGGAAUUCCACGUGUAGCGGUGAUAUGCGUAGAGAUGUGGAGGAACACCAGUGGCGAAGGCGACUUUCUGGCCUGUAACUGACGCUGAGGCGCGAAAGCGUGGGGAGCAAACAGG
rnacentral:rRNA from 1 species